GGAUUGCUGGAGGAAGAACCCAGGCCCCCAGCUAGAAGUGGGAAAAGUGGCCCCGUCCACAGGACAGGGGCAGCACAUCAGUCAGUGGGACUGGCCUGGACCCCCUGCUCCUCCGUCCUCCUGGGAGACUCUCUGGGUAGAAGGGAAAGCCUGGUUGCCCUGGGCUUCUUCCCGGCUCUGCUGACCAGAGAGAAGGUUGGCUUCCU